GACGAACGCUGGCGGCGUGCCUAAUACAUGCAAGUUGAGCGCUGAAGGUUGGUCCUUGUACCAACUGGAUGAGCAGCGAACGGGUGAGUAACGCGUGGGGAAUCUGCCUUUGAGCGGGGGACAACAUUUGGAAACGAAUGCUAAUACCGCAUAAAAACUUUAAACACAAGUUUUAAGUUUGAAAGAUGCAAUUGCAUCACUCAAAGAUGAUCCCGCGUUGUAUUAGCUAGUUGGUGAGGUAAAGGCUCACCAAGGCGAUGAUACAUAGCCGACCUGAGAGGGUGAUCGGCCACAUUGGGACGGAGACACGGCCCAAACUCCUACGGGAGGCAGCAGUAGGGAAUCUUCGGCAAUGGACGAAAGUCUGACCGAGCAACGCCGCGUGAGUGAAGAAGGUUGUCGGAUCGUAAAACUCUGUUGGUAGAGAAGAACGUUGGUGAGAGUGGAAAGCUCAUCAAGUGACGGUAACUACACAGAAAGGGACGGCUAACUACGUG
rnacentral:rRNA from 1 species